rnacentral:lncRNA from 10 species
CUAUAGCCAAAUAAGGCCACACUGCAAAGUAGUGGGGUUUAGGACUUCAACAUAUGGAUUUUGAGGUGGCAAAAUUCAACCCAUAAUAGUGUCCAACAGUCAGUGUGACUGGUAUCCUUAUAAAAAGGGGAAAUUUGGAGACAGUGUGCUCACAGGAAGAACGCCCUGUUAAGAUGAAGGCAAAGAUUGGGGUGAUGCAUCUAUAAGCCAAGGAACCCCCCAAAUUGCCAGCAAACUACCAGAAGCUAGCGGAGGGCCACAGAGCAAAUUCUCUCUUUCACAAUCCUCAGAAGGAAGCAACCCCAUUGACACUUUGAUCUCAGACUUCUAGCCUGCAGAACUGAGAGACAAUAAAUGUCUGUUACAUCCCCAGUUUAUGAUACAUGGUUAAAACAGCCCUAGCAAACUAACCCAGGCACGGAGCGCUACCGUUGAGUGAGAAACAUCUGCUCUGUUCCUUGAGGCUGACUAUUUGGCUACUGAAAGGCUUUCUGUCUUCUAUCCUCCCGCUCAUGUAUCCCCACAAUAACUCCCAUAACCUCAGACAACCCGAGCCUGUCUGCUCCCUGGAAGCUGAAAGAACUUCAGUAACUCAGUUGGAGUGCAGGCAGCAGUGUUUGGGAAGGAGUAAAUGAAGCAGUUGGAAGCAAAGAAGCUGCUGCUUUGGGAUCCGCAAAUCAGAGGAUCAGGAAAUGUGAAACAACUUUCCUGACAGCUUCAGGGAGUGACAUCCAGGCAGGAACUCGGCGGCUUGGCAGAGCUGGAGGAGGAUAGCAGCGCUCUUUUUCCAACCUGGAAACAGCCCAUUCAGUCAAUAACUCACCUCCAGUGCCUUUUCCUAAAGCAUUUACAGUCAGGAGAACAAAUUCAGCAGCAGCUGAGCCGCCACAACCUCGAGCCUCUCUCCUGAUCACAGCAUCACAUAGACAAGGCUUCAGUGGAACCAUGACAAUUAGAAUAUUUAUUGAUUGCAGCACUUACAAAAUUUGAAAUAUUUGAAU